GAGCAUCCGUCGGGGGGCCCAUUGGGCUGAGAGGUGCUUGCACUGACCCGUCGAACCUGAUCCGGGCAAUGCCGGCGUAGGGAACGGGUACAUAUGGCCA
rnacentral:ncRNA from 2 species